rnacentral:rRNA from 1 species
CCAAAUAUGGAAUCAUACCUAAAUAGAAAAAUACUUAGGCUGAUAUAUUACUUUUAACUUCAAUCAUCAAAAUGGAAUAUAAAUAGAUAUUUUCCAGUGAAUAAAAUUAACGAAUUCCUGGUAGGGAAAUUUAGGAACGAGGAAAAUUAGAUGAUAAAAUAGGUGCCAGCAAUCGCGGUCAUACCUAUGUCUAAAAAUAUAUAGUCUGUUCUUAUACUUUAAAAUAAAAUCAUUAGUUAGCCUAUAGUGAAAUAUUAAUAACUACAAAAUUAAUGUUUAUUUAAAUAAUUAUUUUCUGAAUAAAAUUAGGUCAAAAACCAGGAUUAGAUACCCUGCUAUUCUAAUAUAUUUGAAGGAACAGAAGUUCACUCAAAGCCUAUGGCGGCUCUUCUAAAUUUUAGGGGAACUUACCAGAUAAUCGAUAAUCACCGAAAAACCCUUCCUAAUAAAUCUAGUUUGUAUGCCGUCGUCAAUAUUUUUUCUUUGAAAAGAUAGUGAAGUAAUUAUAAAUUAUUCUAUACAGAUCAAGGUGCAACUAAUAAUUAGGACAUAAGGUGAGUUACAAUAAACAAUAUUUUCGGGCCUCCGCUUAAAAUAGUUGAAGUAAGAUGGACUUAAAAUUAAAAAGAAAUAUAAAAUUCUUUUGAAUAAAUAAUGGAAGAGUGC